GCCCAUAUCGUUUAUGUAUUUAUGUUGGUUGCGUAUGCCGCGGCCGAGUUUUGUUAUUACCUCGUCCAAAAACCAGUCGAUUUUGAUUUCAGUCUUCAUACAGUCUUCGCUUUAACCCGUUCCAAAAAUCUAUCCGCCGCUCUCACAGUUAUCAUUCUUGGUCCUUCGUCUUGCCGAUCGGUCGCCGCUGAUCCGCGUGCGCCGCGUGUGUUAAGAAAAGGGUCGACUCUCUAGCAGCAGCAGCAACAGGAGCAGCAACACCGCAGCAGCAACGAGGUGGCGCAGGGUGGAAGAACAAGGUCGUCGCCAUCGUCGCCGACACGCUCGCCUAGCUCCGCUCUCCGCUAUCCACUUCCUCCCAUCCCACAAGCCUCCGCCGCCUUUAUCCGCCGCGGGUUGUGUUCGAGGGCUCCUCAACCUUGACUUGAGCGUUCGAGCGUGCCCCUCCCGACUUUCCUUUCGACCCACCCCCCCCAUCCAUCACCUGUAUCCGUGUCCUUCUUAUCCGUUUCGUUGCGUUGCGUUGCUAUUAUUAUUACCGUUGUUAUUAUUGUUAUUUAUUAUAAUUGCUAUUAGUACCACACUUUACACCAGUUGUUGUUAUCAGUUUUGCGUGUGCGUGUGCGCGAUCGUGUGUGUGCGUGUGCGUCAUAUAUAUGCGAGCAGCGCGGUGUGCUGUUGGCUGGUGGCGGUACGCGGUUCGCGGUUCCUCGCCUUAAAACAUCUCGCCAAUCGAUCUCCGCGAAGGACAGACACCACCACCCUUCGGUAAAGGGAAGGUGAGAGAACCUGCUUCUUGUACUACUACUUCUUCUGCUGGCAGUCGACCUACUGCUGUUGCUGCUGCAAACGCAACGCAACAGCUCGGACAGGUCGGAAGAACCAAAACAAACAAAUCCCGCGCCACGCAAAAGAGCUUGACAGAAUCACUUUUCGAAUCCCCUUUCCGGAAGAGCGGUAUUUGAAUUGGUCAACUCAGGAUCUGGAUCUGCUACACGGCGGUGCAGACACACACGCGACGAUCAUACCAGAGUGUCAGAUAGAGCAAGGUUUUGGCGCAUGUGUGUAGAGUGUGUGUGCGUGUGUGUGUGAGGAAAGCAGUUUGCACAACAUUCCGAUCGAGAGGUUGCGAGCGAGCUUAGCGGUCGCAACAGUUGUCGUAGUCGGAUCCGGUGAUAAAGCAAACGUCAGGCAGACAGGCAGGCAGGUAGGCAGGAGAGAGACGGAAGAGCAGAAGAAAUCGACGAAAGGCCAAGGAACAGGAACGGGUUUUUUUCUUUUUUGGAGUGGCCAGUGGCCAGCCACCGACACGACGAAACUAGAGACCGCGAGAACGAGUUAAUGAGCGCGCGUGAGUAAAGAAGCAGCAGAAGAGGCAGAAGAAGAAGAAGGAACGCACAAGAGGAAGACAAGAAGCAGAAGAAGAAGACUAGAAGGGGUAACAUACACGCGGGGGCAGGUUAGUGGUUGUGUGUGCUUUUGGUCAGCGAGACACGAGAGAUUCUUGAAGAUCGCGCAAUCGCGUCUUCAAAGAGAGGUAGAAGAGGAACCAAGGGACGGGACGCUGGUCAAGAACACACAGGUGCACAGGUGUUGGUGUGUGUAACCACGAUUGCGGAUCACAUCAUCAUCAUCAUCAUCAGCGCCGUGCACACAAACACAACAGAGCAGGCGCUUGGGUUGCAGGAAAGCGGCAUAACAGAACAGAAGAACGAAAACAGGAAAACCGGACAGCCAUCGCAGGGAAGGAACUGACCGAAAAGGGGAGAGGGUGAAACAAAGAAGGAAAGAGGAAAGCAAGCAGGAAAGAGUGAUCGAAGAAACGAAGGCCAAAGCUCUCGCUCCUCUUCGAUACGCGAACAAGCGGCAACAGAAGAAGGACUGAACAGAACUGAAGAAGCAAAGAACGCACAGGAAAGAUAUCGCUAGAGUUCUCUGUUCGUGGCGUCUUCUGCGCCUAUCUUCGUGGCUCGGUGUAUGUAAGUGCCGCGAAGCAUUUGCUUUUGAGCCGGUCCGCUUCGGUGGACACGCACGCACGCACGCAAGCAACCAAUCCCCCUUCGUUUUGGGUGGAAGGUGAAUCUG